UUUCAAUGUGAGAGGAAGUCGCAAAUGGGGUACUCAGGUCCCUGCUUUCAUCUUUGGCAGAGAGGCUGCUCAAAUCAAACCUGCACCCUCUUGAGCUGCUCCUGUAAAAGACCUGAUGAUGGGAAAGCAGAACUGCAUGGCAAGGCAGGAAGAGGCUUCAGAAAGUGAGGCUGGCGGCUCCGGGCCAGAACCAGCUGUUGGUGUCUGAAAGUGCCCUGCAGGAGAGAUGAUAACCUGCCUGGGCUAUGGAUAGUAGAUAUCCUGUGGAGCCAGGAGCUAAAGGGACCUGUCCCAUGGGCUCUGGACCAGUCUUACCCCCAGUGGGCUGCCAAGUGAUUCUGGGAGCUGCAAACACUGAUCAAGCUGUUGUGGACCAGGUUAAGAGGAAAAAACAACCUGUAGAGGAUUGUGGGCUACAAAUUUGGGACUUUGUGAAGUUACAAAUGGUUUCAGGUCCCUUGCUGUUUAAAAAUAGCAGCUUGGCUGGAUUGAUGUGCCUACUGUCUGUAGCCAUCAAGAACUAUGGUUCUGCUGAAGAAACUAUGGGACAAGCUGGCUGUGGCCCCCCUGCUCAGCUGCCAGCACUGGAGGGCAGUCUGGAUGACAGUGUACACCUGCAGUGACAUUUCCCCACUGUCCACUGUGCUUUGUUGGAAACGCAGUGUCUUCCUUUUGCUCAAAGUCCCUGUCAGCUGGAAAAAAUAAUAGGCUGUGGUGUUUACCUUCCCUGCCCUCAAAAAUUAAGCAGCUCUG
rnacentral:lncRNA from 1 species